UACGUACGAGGCGAGCGUUAUCCGGAAUUACUGGGCGUAAAGCGUGCGCAGGCGGUGAUGUAAGACAGUUGUGAAAUCCCCGGGCUCAACCUGGGAACUGCAUCUGUGACUGCAUCGCUGGAGUGCGGCAGAGGGGGAUGGAAUUCCGCGUGUAGCAGUGAAAUGCGUAGAUAUGCGGAGGAACACCGAUGGCGAAGGCAAUCCCCUGGGCCUGCACUGACGCUCAUGCACGAAAGCGUGGGGAGCAAACAGG
rnacentral:rRNA from 1 species